rnacentral:sRNA from 1 species
GCGUCCCGCUCGCUGGGAGAGAGGUACCUCUCCUUUUCCCUCUCCCUUUCCCUAAGGAGUGGAGUCAACAUAUCAAUGGAGCAAGUCACAGUCGUCGAUGCCAGCUUCUUCUUGAAAUCUACCCAGAAUGGAAUCCUGACAAUGAUACAGGACACACAAUGGGUGAUCCAUUCAUGUUGCAGCAGUCUACAAAUCCAGCACCAGGAAUUCUGGGACCUCCACCUCCCUCAUUUCAUCUUGGGGGACCAGCAGUUGGACCAAGAGGAAAUCUGGAAACCUGAAGGAAAGCCAGAUCAGAAGUUUGAUCAAAAGCAAGAGCUUGGACGUGUGAUACAUCUCAGCAAUUUGCCGCAUUCUGGCUAUUCUGAUAGUGCUGUUCUCAAGCUUGCUGAGCCUUAUGGGAAAAUAAAGAAUUACAUAUUGAUGAGGAUGAAAAGUCAGGCUUUUAUUGAGAUGGAGACAAGAGAAGAUGCAAUGGCAAUGGUUGACCAUUGUUUGAAAAAAGCCCUUUGGUUUCAGGGGAGAUGUGUGAAGGUUGACCUGUCUGAGAAAUAUAAAAAACUGGUUCUGAGG